ensembl:rRNA 5S_rRNA 5S ribosomal RNA
AUCAGCAGCCAUAUCACCCUGCAACUCACAACUAGCAACCCACUGAAGCUAAGCAGGUGUGAGCCUGGUCAGUACCUGGAUGGGAGACCUCCUGGGAAAAACUAAAGUUGCUGCUGGAA